UACGUAGGGGGCAAGCGUUGUCCGGAUUUAUUGGGCGUAAAGAGCGUGUAGGCGGCCAUGUAGGUCCGUUGUGAAAACUCGAGGCUCAACCUCGAGACGCCGAUGGAAACCAUGUGGCUAGAGUCCGGAAGAGGAGAGUGGAAUUCCUGGUGUAGCGGUGAAAUUCGUAGAUAUCAGGAGGAACACCGAUGGUGAAGGCAGCUCGCUGGGACGGUACUGACGCUGAGGCGCGAAAGCGUGGGGAGCAAACAGG
rnacentral:rRNA from 1 species